GAGAGAAUUGCUCAUGGCAAUUCACUUCAAAAGUGGUAGUGGUAACGUAAUGAGAUGCUAUGCAAGGAAUAUGUAUAAGCCUGAUGACGACAUGGUGGUGGCCCUUUCUUCUGUUCCUUCCUCUCGUUAAGUCCAACAUGGAUAUUCGGAGAAUGAGCUCAACUCGUUAAUAAAAUAGUGCAUGGCACGGGUGCUUUUAUCAUAAUAGCCAGCAGAACAGAUGCUCAAAAAUUUUAUUUUAUUUGAAAACGGACUGAAGAAGGCUACAUUUGGUCCUUCUUCCCAGGCAAAUUAUUCCAAACAAUGAUGAGAGGAACGAGACUUAACUUGUCUUUAGGCUAUGUAAAUGAGAAUAAAUAAAUGUUUGAGUUUAAACUGGGUCCUUUUUAGACCUAUUAUUGCAUCAGCCAUCAUAUUCUGCUGCGUAGAUCCAUAGAACGAGAAAUGUAUGUAUAAAAGCAAUAAAGAUGAACAAGUCGCAACGGCAGUUAUUUUGAAUAUGUACUUGUGUAAUUCAUUCUUAUAUAAUUAAUUGACAUUGUUUUGACAAACUGUGUACAGGUAAAUUGCAUAAGUGAGAGGGAACAGGAAACCCAUGUCAGGCAUUGGACAUAAAAUGACAAACAGCCAGCCCAAGUAAGCACAGCUAUAAACACACAACAUAAUAAAUACGUAAAUAUGUCUGUGAUAAAUAAUCACACACUCGCAUCGCGCAACUAAAACUUACGAAACGCUUGAUAAAAAUUAAGGUUACAUGUACAUAAAUCACCGGUUUAUUCACAAAACAUAAAUUGUACAAAUAAAAUCAGCAAUGUUUGAAAUACUACGACAGGUUGGGAAUAAAUGAGUAAAUUGACACGCCAUUAAUGAGCCAAAAGAAUAAUCUACGAUGGCUGGGUGAAUGAGAUGGCGGAUGCGAAAUGUUUUCGAAACGAGGAAAUCAUUCAUGUGGGGUUAGAUGAUUACUUCGACUAGGAUUUGUACAUUGCAGGGACCACGGAACAGAUAUCCGUGUCGAGUAGAACAAAUAGAGCGCUUUAUUAUUUCUUAUUGUCUUGUACAUAACAAUUAGCAGUCUUUUUUUGGCCGUAUGCCUGACAUCACAUCCAGCACAUUGCAUCCACUCACGUCUAUACAUACGUACGUAGGGGAAAAGCGUUGGGACAAUUGUAUUAGUUCACAGUUGUACCCAUUCCAUGCUGCUGCCUGCUGCGAUAAGAGUCAAGGAUGAGAGGAGGAAGAGCAAAAGCCUGAGGUGCUGCUGGUUUGGUGGCAAAAAAGUGCGAUGAUAAUGAUCAGGUUCUGAAAUCAUUUGGGAAUCGAGGAAUUGAGACUUUUCAGUCCAGGCACGUUCCACUCCACGCCAAAGCAGCACAGCAACCCACGCCACCACAUUUCCAGUCGGGUUACAUACACUGAUAGUUCCCCUUAGUUCUGCACCAGAUAACUUUUCCUCCACGAUUCCGUGGGUCUUUUAUUUCCAGUAUCAACAUAUCAUCAAUGGUGCGAAUGCUAUUAACCGAAACAGAGAUACCAAUGCAACGCCUGCCUUCCUCAAACCGAGUAAAGUCACACUAUUACUAUUUAAACCUUAUUUGGCUUUGGCACUUGGGAAGGAGAACUAAACUCACAAAUCUCAAUCUCCAACCAAGAUCUGCAAGUGAAAAAGUUUACUUUGUAGGUAUAGGUAAGUAGGUAGACAAAACCAUUAAUAUAAAUUAUUGGAUUGGUUUAUUGGCACAGGUAGAGACUUGGUUUGCUUAAUUAUUCAUAAAGAUUGCGAUAGCCGUAAAAGGUCUAAUUGUACUGUUGUGAAGUGAACCGAAGAGAUACCCUCCUCGUAGGUAUUUAGCCAGACCGAGCUAGUUUCGCCCUGGAAUGCGGCACACGACGCGACGCAUUUUAAUUCGAAAAUUUAGAUCUCCAAAUACGUCUUUCUCAGCGUCUCAAAUAAAUGGUACACUUUGCGCAGGAUGGACCGCUGAUACUUAAGCGUAAUAGCGAAAUGUAACAUUCCUGUGGUGGGCAAUUUCGAGGGAAAAAAUGCCGCAGAAGAAGAAAGUCUACUUUUCUAAAUUAAUUAGCCCCUGGAACCAAAACAAUUUACAAGAGUCCGAGCGAGUUCCACUCCUUAAAAUAUAAAAUUGACAGUCAUCAUUUUUCACUUUGUGCGUCAAUUUGAAUAAAACGUGUAUUGUAUGA